CCUACGGGUGGCAGCAGUGAGGAAUAUUGGUCAAUGGGCGCAAGCCUGAACCAGCCAAGUAGCGUGAGGGAGGACGGCCCUACGGGUUGUAAACCUCUUUUGCCGGGGAGCAACGGGCGUCACGUGUGGCGCCACUGAGAGUACCCGGAGAAAAAGCAUCGGAUAACCCCGUGCCACCAGCGGCGGUAAUACGGAGGAUGCGAGCGUUAUCCGGAUUUAUGGGGUUUAAAGGGUGCGUAGGCGGACAUUUAAGUCAGUGGUAAAAUUUGGGGGCUAAACACUUUCCCGCCAUUGAAACUGGGGUUCUUGAGUGGAAGAGAAGUAGGCGGAAUGCGUGGUGUAGCGGUGAAAUGCAUAGAUAUCACGCAGAACCCCGAUUGCGAAGGCAGCAUGCCGGCUUCCAACUGACGCUGAAGCACGAAAGCGUGGGGAUCGAACAGGAUUAGAUACCCGUGUAGUC
rnacentral:rRNA from 1 species